rnacentral:misc_RNA from 1 species
GAUGAAGAACGUAGCGAAAUGCGAUAAGUAGUGUGAAUUGCAGAAUUCAGUGAAUCAUCGAAUCUUUGAACGCACAUUGCGCCCUUUGGUAUUCCUUAGGGCAUGCCUGUUCGAGCGUCAUUUAAACCUUCAAGCUAAGCUUGGUGUUGGGUGACUGUCCGCUUCACGGCGGACUCGCCUCAAAAUUAUUGGCGGCCGGUACAUUGGCUUCGAGCGCAGCAGAAACGCGAACUCGGGCCCGUCGUAUUAGCUCCCAGAAGCUAUCUUCACAAUUUUGACCUCGGAUCAGGUAGGGAUACCCGCUGAACUUAAGCAUAUCAAUAAGCGGAGGA